CAAUAGCGUAUAUUAAAGUUGUUGCGGUUAAAAAGCUCGUAGUUGGAUUUCUGCCGAGGACGUCCGGUCCGCCCUCUGGGUGAGUACAUGGCACGGCCUGGGCAUCUUCUUGGGGAACGUAUCUGCACUUGACUGUGUGGUGCGGUAUCCAGGACUUUUACUUUGAGGAAAUUAGAGUGUUUCAAGCAGGCACACGCCUUGAAUACAUUAGCAUGGAAUAAUAAGAUAGGACCUCGGUUCUAUUUUGUUGGUUUCUAGAGCUGAGGUAAUGAUUAAUAGGGAUAGUUGGGGGCAUUCGUAUUUAACUGUCAGAGGUGAAAUUCUUGGAUUUGUUAAAGACGGAUUACUGCGAAAGCAUUUGCCAAGGAUGUUUNCAUUGA
rnacentral:rRNA from 1 species